rnacentral:rRNA from 1 species
AUGUCGUCUGACGACGAAAAAGAUUUCAUUAAGUGCGAAUACUGUGAAGACCAGCGCGGCCUGUGCGACAGAAAUUUCCUAGUUGAUGAUAGGCGCUUCAGCAUCAAGCAGACCUUCGAAGUGGAUACACGCAUCCCCUGCCAUGCAAGAAUUUUUGUCUUGGAUAAGAUAGGUUUCAGUGCUAUGGAAACUAUGGAGGUAAAGAUAGUUUACCUGAAGACGGAGCAUGGUUAUACUUUCAACGUCAAAUUAUACAAUGCAGACACGUACACCUAUUUUGAAUGCAAAACUUGGCAAGCACUAUGCAAGGCUUAUGCAUUUGAGCCUGGUAUGGUUAUCACCUUUGAUAUUCGUCCGGAAGAUGAUAUUGAAGCUUAUUUCCAUUCAAGCAAACAUGUCCGGUGCUUGGUAGAUAGGACCUACUACUGUCCCAGAGCUGAACUAAACUGCGAGGAGAUAAGUCAUUAUGUUUCAUGGCUUGAGGAUCUUCAUACUGUCAAGACAAAUUUUCUUCCUGCACUUGGAAAUGUUAGUACUCAAAACGUGCGACCAAUAGUGAUCGUAUUGAACUACGGUCACAUCUAUGAAAGAUGGGACUCCCGAUGA